AUGCGAAGAAGAAGUUACAACUCCAUUUUUUGCAACAUAUGCAAUGUUAUUUUUUUUUCGUUAAAUUCUUAUUUCAUAAAGAAAUACAUACUUUCAAAAAACGUUAAUAUAUUUUAUUUAGAAGAUAAAACAAAUGCUUAUUUGGAAAAAAAAUAUAAGACUAAGACUCCGUAUAUAAAAACAGAAAGUGGUAUACUCUAUAAGGACCUAAUAGAUGGAGAAGGAGACCCAAUAGAAGAAGGUGAUAUCGUAUAUAUCCAUUACCAAGGAAAAACAACAAAUGAUUUUCGAAUUAUCCAAUCAACAUUCAAAAGUAUUAUUCCACCUAAAAUUAAAGCUGGGUGUUAUGAUAGAAUGCAUAUACCAGCUAUUUACGAAAUGGUUAUUAAUAUGAAAAAACAUACGAGGAGACAAUGUAUUAUUCCUCCACAUAUGGGUUUACCCAAUCAUUUCCCUAAUCAAGUAAGUCAAAAAAAAAAAAAAAAAAAAAAAUUAACAAUGAAAGCAGAGUUAGCAAAAUCUUCUUUCGUGCAACUUAAUUCGAAUAUUCCUCAAUUUACUCAAUUUUUUUUUAUUUUUAUUUUAUAGCCCCUUCUUUACGAAAUAGACGUUGUCAGAAUAGUAAAAAAGAACGCACCACAAAAAACACUUUUGGAAAAAAUCAAAGCGCAAAUUGAAUAUUUGAAAAAUAUUAUUUUUACUUUCUUUUAAUUUAUUAUAUACGUCAAUGUAAAAAAUAUAUAUAUAUAUAUAUAUCUAUUAAGCAUCAUUUAUGUAUCUUUUGGUAUCAUUUGUUUUUAAUUUUUUUUUUUUUUUUUUUUUUUAUCACUAAAACAAUUACUUUAUACUGAGCACUUUCUUUCUUGUUUGUCUGCCUAUUUACCAUUUAGACUAUUAUUUCAACUUUUAUCAUUCAUCUUCCACCAAUUCAUUCAUUAUACUUGAUGCAAUGUGGUUUAACUUUUUUUUCUCUUCUACUUUUUUUACACAAUCACCAUUUACAACACCAUUUACAACAC
rnacentral:lncRNA from 1 species